rnacentral:tRNA from 1 species
GGAGAGAUGGCCGAGUGGCUUAAGGCAACGGUUUGCUAAACCGUCGUGGGCAAAAUGUUCACCGGGGGUUCGAAUCCCCCUUUCUCCG